rnacentral:rRNA from 1 species
GACGAACCGUCCAAACGUUGUUCGGAAUCACUGGGCUUAAAGGGAGCGUAGGCGGGCUGCCAAGUCCGGGGUGAAAUCCUCCAGCUCAACUGGAGAACUGCCUCGGAUACUGGAAGUCUCGAGGAGGGUAGGGGCAUGCGGAACCGUGGGUGGAGCGGUGAAAUGCGUUGAUAUCUACAGGAACUCCGGUGGCGAAAGCGACGUGCUGGACCUCUUCUGACGCUGAGGCGCGAAAGCUAGGGGAGCAAACGGG